rnacentral:tRNA from 1 species
GGCCCCUUAGCUCAGUGGUUAGAGCAGUCGACUCAUAAUCGAUUGGUCGCUGGUUCAAACCCAGCAGGGGCCACCA